GACGAACGCUGGCGGCGUGCUUAACACAUGCAAGUCGAACGGAAAGGCCCUGCUUUUGUGGGGUGCUCGAGUGGCGAACGGGUGAGUAACACGUGAGUAACCUGCCCUUGACUUUGGGAUAACUUCAGGAAACUGGGGCUAAUACCGGAUAGGAGCUCCUGCUGCAUGGUGGGGGUUGGAAAGGUUCGGCGGUUGGGGAUGGACUCGCGGCUUAUCAGCUUGUUGGUGGGGUAGUGGCAUACCAAGGCUUUGACGGGUAGCCGGCCUGAGGGGGUGACCGGCCACAUUGGGACUGAGAUACGGCCCAGACUCCUACGGGAGGCAGCAGUGGGGAAUAUUGCACAAUGGGCGGAAGCCUGAUGCAGCAACGCCGCGUGCGGGAUGACGGCCUUCGGGUUGUAAACCGCUUUCGCCUGUGACGAAGCGUGAGUGACGGUAAUGGGUAAAGAAGCACCGGCUAACUACGUG
rnacentral:rRNA from 1 species